AAUACGGGCACAGCAGUCUUGCAGAAUACACUGCAAGUGGAAUCGACAGGAACAACGGAGUGCAGACACAGGCGGAGCUUGUCUUAACUGAAAUAAGUCCCUCAGUGGCUAUUUAAAGUGUUUCUGCGUGCACGGCCCGACAUCGGAACCUAGCGUUGUCAAUUCAGGUGAGAGAUGAGGUACAGAUAAUAGAAGUGAACAGUGUAUGUUAAAAUGGUACUGUGCGAGUCACCGGACGUGUAUCAGUAGAAAUUGAGAGUUCUAAAACGCAAGUGCUAGUGAACUGUGUCGACAGAAGGUUGCACAUCGCAAACAAUGAGUACCUCGGAGACGAUGAAGUUAUCACAGGGGUCAACUUCGGCCGUUAAUCAGAAAAAACUGGAGCUCGCAGAAAAAACCGUCAGCAGAUGUGAAACCAGCACCCUUCAAUUAGUUAGGGAACGUAGGAUUGAAUGUAAAAGAUGUGGGUAAGUCCCGCAGCUACGGAAGUAUCCUGGAGGAGAGGAAAAGGUGCGGUUGGAGCGCAAGUGGCAACUCGUCCAUCGUAACAGGUAAGGAGUCUGGGCUGAGCAGUGCUGUGGUUAGCACCUCACUAGCAUCAUUGUGGCUCAUAUUUAUGGAGCUUUGAGGCCAGAAGAGCUUAAGAGCAGUAUUUAUGGAUGCUAAAUUUGGUGAUACUAUUAUCAUGGCAUGGUUUUUGGCCCUAUAAAACUAUAAUUCCGACGCCAAGAAGAUCAGUAAUAGGGUGAGGCCAACAGUACUGCCGUGACUCCAUCGCCACCAUGUUGAUAGCCACUGCAAGUUAAGCCACCAGUACCAUCAGCCUUCCACUAAAUUGUUUAUAUUUGGCACUCUGUAAAUGGACCAGGUAUUUGUGAAAUUUUGUUGAUUUUAAUAAUAAUCUUGGUGUUAAAAACUC